CUCCUGGCCCUAUCGAAGCUGCGUCUGUCUCUUGUGGCUGAUGUGGUCAAAAAGGUGCCAACAAUGACUUUUUCCUCGACGGUCGCUGUUCAGUUUGCACGGCUGUAACUGUCCAGCAACAUUCUCUGGAAAAUACAUUU
ensembl:snoRNA